GACAGUACAGUGCCCUGCAACCACAAAGCUGUCCAGUGUGAUUUAUUACAGCCAGAGUUUUGUCAUCUCUUCUUGCCAAGGUGAUUCUGUAGGAGGACUGCCCAGAGUGUAACCUCUCCACAUGCUGUAUGGAUCCAAAUCUUCAUAUGUACCUUCAGGUCAGACUCAAACCCAAGAUAAAUCUGUUCUGCACUUACAUUUACUGAGUCCUGAUGGUGUGCUAAGAGCCGGUAAUAAAAAUAGAGCCAAUAAUUCCUGAUAUUUUAAGCUUUUGUAAUUUCAGACAUACUACAUUAUUGACUCUGAGAUGCAAUCAAUAUUUUACAUUUUAUUUUAUGCACCACUGAGAAAAAAUGCCUGCACGUUAAUCUAUGAUAGUCUGUCAAUUGUAAGCCCCAUUCAAAUCCCAGAGAUGGUAACAUGUAGAUGCACAUUUUAAGAGUGAUUAAAUGCAUCAUUGGCUCAUUUGGUCCUCUACUCAGCUCUACAAAGCAAGUAUUAAUAUAGACCUAUUUCAAGAAUAGGAAACUAGAGGUAUAUUAAAUGACUUAUAUACAGUGAGUAGAGCCAAUAGUUAAACCUAGACAGACAGAUCUAGGCUUGUUCACCUUCCACAGUCUUUCCCCUCUCCCCCAUUCUGAGUCUGAUAUUAUAUCCCCCUUUUCCCACAGCCUGACCCCUGAGCUGCUUCCCUGGUUUAGAAACUCUUUUCUGGAGCUUUUCUGUAUGAGCCUUCACUAGUCUUGGAUGUCUGAAAAUUACAAUAGCAACAUAAGCAGGAGCAAUACUUGGAAUUGUGGGACCUAGGCCAACAUCAGAGUCUAGAUGACAAAAAUGUUCAAGCGUUGGCUUGAAUGAAUCUUUACCAACUAUUCCAGAUAAGUUUUAUACAUUUGUUUGCAAUUUGAGUACCUUCCAGGACUAACUGGCCAGUUGGGGAUGCUAAAUGGUGAGUCCCUAAACAUCAACAAGAGGAAACUAAGUAACCCGAGAAGAAAUGUCGGCACUGUGCAUGUUCUGCGGCCAAAGUGCUGUAUAUUUCAAAGCUGGCUUCUGCUAUGUUGGGUGGGUAUGUGCAGGUUACUUAAGCCCUCUGCUUUUGUUCCUUCAUCUGUGAAGCUAGGAUAUCUGUGGUUGAAUUUCACAGGGUAGUUGCAUACACACAAUGAUGAGUGCAUUUUUUUUGUAGCUGGUAUCUGAUAAGUAUCAUCUAUCACUAGCCCUUUUGUGUGGCAGAUUCCAAAGUCUAUGACUGCUUGUCACAGACCCUUCCUGAUUCUUAGUACCCCAUUAGUCAUUUCCCCCAGAACUGGAGGUCCUAAUUGUAAAUGCCUCACAUUGAAUACCUUGAACUGCUACUUGGAAGUAAAAACAUCACAGGGUUUCAAAUUUUGUCUGUAAUAUUUAAGGUCUGACAUUGGUAUAUCCUUGGAUCAUUUCAAAAGCUAUCUCACAAAACCUGCUAUUUAUAACCUGUGCACUUGGCAUUAUGGUACCAAUCAUGAUUUAUUUGCAAGGAGACAGGUUCAUACUAUUCUUAAGCUUAUGGCUAGAUCAGGGUUUCCCACUGCUUUCAAAACUAGCUGGACAUCUUGCCAGUUGUGCUCAGGUUGUUCUGUAUAUUGCAGGAUGGUUUACAACAUCCCUGAACUCCAUUCUUAGUUUCCAAAAGUGUGUUCCACCCUCUACCUGGUGUGGAAAUUAACCACACUUCCUGACAGUUCCAAAAUCCCUAGUUGAGAAUCACUAUGCUAGAUGAAUGCCAGCUCCAUAGGAGCCUGGAUGUGUCUCCCUGGUGCACGCUGCAGCUUGCAGGGCCUAGAGGAGUAGCAGGUACAUUGCAGGGACUUAAUAUUUGCAAAAUGAUCAAAUAACCCCAAAUCAUGACAGUUGUCUGUUGAAAAAAAAUGAACUAAAAGAUCUCGUUUCUAAAAUCCUUUUCACUUUCUAAAUUAAGCUGCAGUGCCUUAGCCCUUUAUGGUGUGGCUCUAAGUCACCCCCUGCCUCCCCACUUGCAUUCCCCUUUGGAUUCAGGUGGUCUCCAAAGACUCAUUUCACUGUGUUUAUUUUUGCAAAACAAACUCAACUAGUGAUGAGAAAACUCACUAGCCGGCUGCAUUCCUCCUGCUCUUGGAGAUCCAUUGGGAGAACUCUCAAGCAAAUAUUUCAGUCAUCAAAGUGACUACAAACAAGGUAAACCCUACAUAAAUAAGAGAUGAUAACACCUUAUCACACAAGAAUAAAGCUGGCUCUUAUCCUUGCCAACAUAGACUUGAAGUGUCACAGCGAUGACUGAGGUUAAAAGGGAGCCUGGCAUCAAAGGAGUCUCUGUGUUUGUCCCUCUUAUCUGUCUUGAGACAGAGGGGAUAGGGAUAACUCAGAAUCCUCAGUGUAUCCCUGGUCUCUAGAAACCUCACCCAUAUCUCCUCCUAUCCUUCCUGGCCUCAGCCAUGUUUCCAGGGGGUCCCAGUGUAUAGAUGGGGGAGAGCUGUUACAAUUGACCAGUAAGGAAAAGAGCAUGUGUGGUUUUCCCAGCAGGGAUGGUUCUUGUUCAAACUUUGGUUUUACAUUUGUUUUGGUUUUUGAAUUUGAAGGAGAGCUAGAAAACAGGAAAGCGUGUCAUUUUAAUUGUUUCUUAUCUAAUUAAAAUGAAGCCUUAAGAUAAAAUUCAAGGUUAGAGAAAACAUGGGCUCAUAGAUCAGGACCCAGGUUCCAGUCCAUACCUCUCUCCUCCCUCUCUCCCUUUCCUCCUUUCUCUCAGGCUCUCCCUUCCCCCUUGUAAUUGGGUAAUCUUGAACAAGUUUAUGCAGCUUUCUCAUUCUUGUUUUUUUCUCCUGUUGCAACAACCCCAGACCAUUAAAACAGAUACUGCUUGCCAAGCACAGUAUCAGGAGCCAUGCACACAGGAAGACUGCUGUUCUUCUCUUCCUUUUUGUCAUCAGUGAUGAACAUGACCUCUUGUGAAAACAGCUGGAGGGUUUCCUCUGAAGACUAUCUGGCAUCCCCAGAACAUGUAAAGCAAUGUCAAACCCAGGGUCAAAAUACCCUUGGUUUUGAAGGGAAGCUGACAUGCUGCUCAAUGCAAGGUUGGAAGUAGGGCUAUUACUUGGCAAAGACUGAGUUUUCCCUUAAGGUUACAUGCACUAUGUGUCCCUUGUAUGGCUACCUCUUUCUGGGUCUCCAUUUUACCAACUAUAUAAAGAGAAUGAAAGCUGUUUAUGUAUAAAUUAUCUUUUUUCUAACAUUCUGUUGUUGUGCUUCAGAAUGGAGCUCUAUGCACUGAUAGAAUGUGUCAACAGGUAUGGAGCCCUCAGUCAGGUUAUAUGUUGAGUUAUAUAAAUGUGUCUGAUGGAGGUCCUAAACACUGGAACUGUGGCUAUGGUGAUGGAGUCCCUGAUGGUUUUCUAAGCUUUCAUUUUAAUAUGUUUGAAUUCAAGUGUAAUUAACCAAAGUGGCUAGUGAUUGUUAUGGUAGACCCCCAAAUUCCAGUAUCCACACUCAAGAUUGGAGCCACUGUCUCCAGAUUACAACCAUCUCAUUGAAAUAGGUGGCAUUACAAGGAUGUGACAAGAGCAUUUCUAACACCAGCAAUCUUUGAUAGCUGUAGACUCAAGCAUCUUGUUACAUCAUGGCUGUUUCGGUGUCUUCCACAGUGCACAAGACAUAGUUGGUGGCCAACAACACAUCAUUGACAAUGUUUUCUAUUGUCAUCUUUCAUAGGCCUCAAAUUUCCCCUAUGAGAAAAUAAUUCGGGCAGCUUUUGCAUUUGCUGUCCAUAAUUUAUCACCCUGGGAAUUGGCAUUGAAAUAAAAAAUUCAAAAAUACCAUGAUUGUAGAGGAGAAGUUAAAGUCUAUAAACCAACAAGGGCUUUUUUUCUGUGUAGGCUUUUUUAUUUUUCUCUUUAUCCUUUAUCUCUGUUUUUAUUUCUGUUGUUUGUUUAUUUGAGACCUAUAUGUUGUACGUAGCUGAGGAUAACCUUGAAGUCUUCAUCCCCCUGUCUCUACCUAUACUGGCUGGUUUUGUGGGUCGACUUAACUCCAGCUAGAGUAAUCAGAGGAAGGAGGCUCAGCUGAGGAAAUGCCUCAGUGAGAUCCAGUUGUAAGGCAUUUUAUCAUUUAGUGAUCAAUUGGGGAGGGCACUGACCAUGGUGGGUGAAGCUAUCCCUGGGUUGUUGGUCCUGGGUUCUGUAAUAAGGUGGGUUCAACAAGACAUGUGGAGCAAACCAGUAAGCAUAUCCCCUCCAUGGCCUCUGCAUCAGCGUUAAACAGAAAUAUUAAAGUGUAAGCCAAAUAAACCCUUUCCUCUGCAACUUGUGUUUCAGUCAUGGUGUUUUGUAGCAGCAAUAGGAAACCAUAACUAAGAAACAUCAUCUCCAGUGCUGGAAUUACAGGUGUUUAGCGGUACACUUGGCUGUGUAUUAUUGCAUGAUGUCUGUUCUCUAUGUAUUCAGAGUGCUUUUGUGUAAAUUAUAUGCUGUGAUUGGUCUCAUGGCCAUUCCUCAGUCUACCAAUGAAGCCUCAGAAGAAGAUACACCACCUCCUACAUCCCUCAAGUGGAAGAACCCCCGAUGAUUUAGUGAGAGUCCACAGUGUGGUGCUGAGCUCUGGACUGAAGCAGAUCACACCUUCUGUCUAUCCAGCUGUGACUAUUUGCAUCUUUUUUAUUCAGACUGAGGCAAGGAGGCACACUCUGGGAAUUUCUGUUUUCGAGCAUUGGCAAAAAGCCGCACUGAGGGUGCAACGCCAAUCCACAACCAGUCUGCUACCUUCUGAUAGGAAACCUCCAUAAUACAAUAACAUAUGUUCAGAGCACUGUAACUGGGUGGGGCAGAGGAGCUCAAGAUAAGGCAUGCUGGUUCAAAUCCUGGCUCUAAUGCUCCCUGGAUAUUGGUUUUCUCUCAUGAAUUCCUGGGGUUGGGGGACGGUUUGUUUCGUUGCUUUACUGGGGAAGGAAUCUAUGCGGCCUACUACUGAACUAUAUCCUAAGGUCUUUUCACUUUUAAAAUCUUGGACAGAGGUGCCUUACUGAUUCACUCAAAAUGUCACCAAAAUUGUACUAGCCAGUGGGGACUUUGAACUCAUGAUUCUGCUUCUGCUGUCUGAGUAGCUGGAAUAACAUCUUGCCUUGCCAGUGUACUUAAAGAGGUGGCCACACCCUUUGGGCAAGGUUUCAGGUGCUUUAAGGUAGAGUAGCUGGGAGUGAUUGUGCUCUUUUGGGUCACAGAAAGCAUCAGAAGUGUAGAGACUGCAUCUUCUGGAGCAUGAAGGCCGCAAUGGUUAUUUAUUCUUAUCUGUGUAAGUUAUUCCCCAAUAAAUCACCUAUUUAUCAUUA